UACGUAGGGUGCGAGCGUUGUUCGGAAUUACUGGGCGUAAAGCGCGCGCAGGCGGUCCUUUAAGUCAGGGGUGAAAGCCCAGAGCUCAACUCUGGAACUGCCUUUGAAACUAGAGGACUUGGGUACGGGAGAGGUGAGUGGAAUUCCGAGUGUAGAGGUGAAAUUCGUAGAUAUUCGGAAGAACACCAGUGGCGAAGGCGGCUCACUGGCCCGUUACCGACGCUCAGGCGCGACAGCGUGGGGAGCAAACAGG
rnacentral:rRNA from 1 species